UCUAUUACACAAAUUUAUUCUCUCACUCAUAUCUCUUCUCUUUCACUCAUAUCUCUCUCUUACAGUCAUCUCUCUCCUGGCUCAUCUCUAUCCGCUCUUAUCUUUCUAUGUUGUUCUCUCUUCGUCCAUCUCAACUUAGAGGUAAACACAUUCUUUGUUUUACUUUAUGGGUUUAAUCUGAGGUUUUACGAACCCUAAUUUGUAAAUUUGUUUUAGUUUGUGUUCAUCUCUUUGUGAUUACAAUUUGUUAAAUUUGGGGGCUUGAUGAACCCUAAUUUUUGUGGGACUUUAGAUUUUUAAGUUGGGGAUUUACAAACCUAAUUUGGGGAUUUAUUUUAUCGAUUUAAUUUGGAAAAUUCGUGAUUUUUACAUAUCAGGAGAGAGUUAUGCAGGUUGCAUAUACAUAACCAAAGCACUACGUUUUAUAUUUUUCCCAUCUCACUGUUAUUCUCUUCUAUUGUAUGUGCAGGACACUAUGUGCCUCAACUUGCAGAGCUUAUACUUUAUCUUCGUUUGGUUUGUUUUCUCAAUAACCCUAAAUUUUUAUUUUUUGUUUAGUUCAAAAUUUCAAAUUGCUCCUACUAAUUUCAUAAACAUGUCCGUAGAUUUGAGUCUUGUUAUGACUAGAUUUCAGUCUUUGAUUUUCUUUGUAUGUUUAUAUGGUGUUUGUUUAUAUUCCCCUGAGAAUGAUUUUUAAAUUUUUUCAUGUUUUCAAUUUUGGCUUACUAAUUUUCAAACAUGUCUGUAGGUUGGAGUUUUGUUUCGAUUGGAGCUUGGAGGUUUCGAUUUAAUUGGAGAUCUAAGUUCAACUCCCAAGGUAUAUACCUAUUGUUUUGUUGUUUCUUUGUUUAUAGUUUUUGGUUUCCUUUGCACAUAUGUUGGGUGUUUGUUUUUGUUGCCAGGAGAACAUUAGUUAUGAUAUAACUGUUCUUUGUAUUUGCUUGGAGCCCUAAUUUUUUAUUAUGCAUACCACA
rnacentral:lncRNA from 1 species